rnacentral:tRNA from 1 species
CGGGGCGUGGCGCAGUCUGGCUAGCGCGGCUACGUUCGGGACGAUGAAGUUGCAGGUUCAAAUCCUGUCGCCCCGAC